GGACCCGCACAAGCGGUGGAUGAUGUGGUUUAAUUCGAUGCAACGCGAAAAACCUUACCCACCUUUGACAUGUACGGAAGUUGCCAGAGAUGGCUUCGUGCUCGAAAGAGAACCGUAACACAGGUGCUGCAUGGCUGUCGUCAGCUCGUGUCGUGAGAUGUUGGGUUAAGUCCCGCAACGAGCGCAACCCUUGUCAUUAGUUGCUACAUUUAGUUGGGCACUCUAAUGAGACUGCCGGUGACAAACCGGAGGAAGGUGGGGAUGACGUCAAGUCCUCAUGGCCCUUAUAGGUGGGGCUACACACGUCAUACAAUGGCUGGUACAAAGGGUUGCCAACCCGCGAGGGGGAGCUAAUCCCAUAAAGCCAGUCGUAGUCCGGAUCGCAGUCUGCAACUCGACUGCGUGAAGUCGGAAUCGCUAGUAAUCGUGGAUCAGAAUGUCACGGUGAAUACGUUCCCGGGUCUU
rnacentral:rRNA from 1 species